AACGUAGGACGCAAGCGUUAUCCGGAAUUACUGGGCGUAAAGCGCGUGUAGGUGGUUGCAUAAGUCACUGUUGAAAGCUCCCGGCUAAACUGGGAGAGGUGCGGUGAGACUGUGUGGCUAGAGUAUGGGAGAGGGAUGCAGAAUUCCGGGUGUAGUGGUGAAAUGCGUAGAGAUCCGGAGGAAUACCAGAGGCGAAGGCGGCAUCCUGGCCUAUAACUGACACUGAGACGCGAAAGCAUGGGGAGCGAACGGG
rnacentral:rRNA from 1 species